GGGCCCGCACAAGCGGUGGAGCAUGUGGUUUAAUUCGACGCAACGCGAAGAACCUUACCAAGGCUUGACAUAGGAGCGGCGCGCAUGGAGACAUGCGUUCCUUUCGGGGCGCUCCAUACAGGUGGUGCAUGGUUGUCGUCAGCUCGUGUCGUGAGAUGUUGGGUUAAGUCCCGCAACGAGCGCAACCCUUACGCUUAGUAGCCAGCAGGUAAAGCUGGGCACUCUGGGCGGACUGCCGUGGAUAACACGGAGGAAGGCGGGGAUGAGGUCAAAUCAUCAUGCCCCUUACGUCUUGGGCUACACACGUGCUACAAUGGCUGCAACAGAGCGAGGCGAAGGCGCGAGCCGGAGCAAAGCGCAAAAAAGCAGUCCCAGUUCGGAUUGCAGUCUGCAACUCGACUGCAUGAAGUUGGAAUCGCUAGUAAUCGCGGAUCAGCAUGCCG
rnacentral:rRNA from 1 species